rnacentral:rRNA from 1 species
ACGCACGCUGGCGGCAGGCCUAACACAUGCAAGUCGCACGAAGUCUUCGGACUUAGUGGCGCACGGGUGAGUAACACGUGGGAAUAUACCUUACGCUGGGGGAUAACAUCGGGAAACUGAUGCUAAUACCGCAUACGCCCUUCGGGGGAAAGAUUUAUCGGCGAAAGAUUAGCCCGCGUCCGAUUAGCUAGUUGGUGAGGUAAUGGCUCACCAAGGCUCCGAUCGGUAGCUGGUCUGAGAGGAUGACCAGCCACACUGGGACUGAGACACGGCCCAGACUCCUACGGGAGGCAGCAGUGGGGAAUAUUGGACAAUGGGCGCAAGCCUGAUCCAGCCAUGCCGCGUGAGUGAUGAAGGCCUUAGGGUUGUAAAGCUCUUUCACCCACGACGAUGAUGACGGUAGUGGGAGAAGAAGCCCCGGCUAACUUCGUG